rnacentral:rRNA from 1 species
GGGGGCCUGCUAUACAUGCAAGUCGAGCGAACAGAGAAGGAGCUUGCUCCUUUGACGUUAGCGGCGGACGGGUGAGUAACACGUGGGCAACCUACCUUAUAGUUUGGGAUAACUCCGGGAAACCGGGGCUAAUACCGAAUAAUCUAUUUUACUUCAUGGUGAAAUACUGAAAGACGGUUUCGGCUGUCGCUAUAAGAUGGGCCCGCGGCGCAUUAGCUAGUUGGUGAGGUAACGGCUCACCAAGGCGACGAUGCGUAGCCGACCUGAGAGGGUGAUCGGCCACACUGGGACUGAGACACGGCCCAGACUCCUACGGGAGGCAGCAGUAGGGAAUCUUCCACAAUGGGCGAAAGCCUGAUGGAGCAACGCCGCGUGAGUGAAGAAGGUUUUCGGAUCGUAAAACUCUGUUGUAAGGGAAGAACAAGUACAGUAGUAACUGGCUGUACCUUGACGGUACCUUAUUAGAAAGCCACGGCUAACUACGUGCCAGCAGCCGCGGUAAUACGUAGGUGGCAAGCGUUGUCCGGAAUUAUUGGGCGUAAAGCGCGCGCAGGCGGUCCUUUAAGUCUGAUGUGAAAGCCCACGGCUCAACCGUGGAGGGUCAUUGGAAACUGGGGGACUUGAGUGCAGAAGAGGAAAGUGGAAUUCCAAGUGUAGCGGUGAAAUGCGUAGAGAUUUGGAGGAACACCAGUGGCGAAGGCGACUUUCUGGUCUGUAACUGACGCUGAGGCGCGAAAGCGUGGGAGCAAACAGGAUUAGAUA